rnacentral:rRNA from 1 species
UGCCUAAUACAUGCAAGUCGUACGCUUCUUUUUCCUCCGGAGCUUGCUCCACCGGAAAAAGAAGAGUGGCGAACGGGUGAGUAACACGUGGGUAACCUGCCCAUCAGAAGGGGAUAACACUUGGAAACAGGUGCUAAUACCGUAUAACAAUCGAAACCGCAUGGUUUUGAUUUGAAAGGCGCUUUCGGGUGUCGCUGAUGGAUGGACCCGCGGUGCAUUAGCUAGUUGGUGAGGUAACGGCUCACCAAGGCUACGAUGCAUAGCCGACCUGAGAGGGUGAUCGGCCACAUUGGGACUGAGACACGGCCCAAACUCCUACGGGAGGCAGCAGUAGGGAAUCUUCGGCAAUGGACGAAAGUCUGACCGAGCAACGCCGCGUGAGUGAAGAAGGUUUUCGGAUCGUAAAACUCUGUUGUUAGAGAAGAACAAGGAUGAGAGUAACUGUUCAUCCCUUGACGGUAUCUAACCAGAAAGCCACGGCUAACUACGUGCCAGCAGCCGCGGUAAUACGUAGGUGGCAAGCGUUGUCCGGAUUUAUUGGGCGUAAAGCGAGCGCAGGCGGUUUCUUAAGUCUGAUGUGAAAGCCCCCGGCUCAACCGGGGAGGGUCAUUGGAAACUGGGAGACUUGAGUGCAGAAGAGGAGAGUGGAAUUCCAUGUGUAGCGGUGAAAUGCGUAGAUAUAUGGAGGAACACCAGUGGCGAAGGCGGCUCUCUGGUCUGUAACUGACGCUGAGGCUCGAAAGCGUGGGGAGCAAACAGGAUUAGAUACCCUGGUAGUCCACGCCGUAAACGAUGAGUGCUAAGUGUUGGAGGGUUUCCGCCCUUCAGUGCUGCAGCUAACGCAUUAAGCACUCCGCCUGGGGAGUACGACCGCAAGGUUGAAACUCAAAGGAAUUGACGGGGGCCCGCACAAGCGGUGGAGCAUGUGGUUUAAUUCGAAGCAACGCGAAGAACCUUACCAGGUCUUGACAUCCUUUGACCACUCUAGAGAUAGAGCUUCCCCUUCGGGGGCAAAGUGACAGGUGGUGCAUGGUUGUCGUCAGCUCGUGUCGUGAGAUGUUGGGUUAAGUCCCGCAACGAGCGCAACCCUUAUUGUUAGUUGCCAUCAUUUAGUUGGGCACUCUAGCAAGACUGCCGGUGACAAACCGGAGGAAGGUGGGGAUGACGUCAAAUCAUCAUGCCCCUUAUGACCUGGGCUACACACGUGCUACAAUGGGAAGUACAACGAGUCGCGAAGUCGCGAGGCUAAGCUAAUCUCUUAAAGCUUCUCUCAGUUCGGAUUGUAGGCUGCAACUCGCCUACAUGAAGCCGGAAUCGCUAGUAAUCGCGGAUCAGCACGCCGCGGUGAAUACGUUCCCGGGCCUUGUACACACCGCCCGUCACACCACGAGAGUUUGUAACACCCGAAGUCGGUGAGGUAACCUUUUGGAGCCAGCCGCCUAAGGUGGGAUAGAUGAUUGGGGUGAAGUCGUA